AACGAACGCUGGCGGCAUGCCUAACACAUGCAAGUCGAACGUGAUCCAGGCUUCGGUCUGGUGAAAGUGGCAGACGGGUGAGUAACGCGUGGGAACCUGCCCUGUGGUAGGGAAUAACCGCGGGAAGCUGCGGCUAAUACCCUAUGAGUCCUUCGGAGAAGAUUAUCGCCAUAGGGGGCCCGGCGUCGGAUUAGGUAGUU
rnacentral:rRNA from 1 species